GUGGGGAAUCUUCCGCAAUGGACGAAAGUCUGACGGAGCAACGCCGCGUGAGUGAAGAAGGUUUUCGGAUCGUAAAGCUCUUUCGUUAGGGACGAACGUGCUCUUUGUGAAUAAUGAGGAGUAAUGACGGUACCUAAAUAAGAAGCCACGGCUAACUACGUGCCAGCAGCCGCGGUAAUACGUAGGUGGCAAGCGUUUUCCGGAAUUAUUGGGCGUAAAGCGCGCGCAGGCGGGAUAUCAAGUCUGUCUUAAAAGUGCGAGGCUCAACCUCGUGAGGGGACAGAAACUGGUAUUCUUGAGUGUCGGAGAGGAAAGUGGAAUUCCAAGUGUAGCGGUGAAAUGCGUAGAGAUUUGGAAGAACACCAGUGGCGAAGGCGACUUUCUGGACGAUGUCUGACGCUGAGGCGCGAAAGCUAGGGGAGCGAACGGGAUUAGAAACCCGGGUAGUCC
rnacentral:rRNA from 1 species